rnacentral:lncRNA from 1 species
AUGCCCCCAGCCCAGCAUCACUGGCGCACUCGUGUGGCCCGGCACCGCCGCACCCCAAGGUCUGGGUCUCCGAAAGCAAGGCGCGGAGCACCGAUCAGCACCCGCUCCGGAAGUCGCUGGCCUCCCGGCCUCCUCUUUCUAUGCACACACGCCCACCCAGCUCCCCAGCUCCAGGGGCGCCGCGGAAGAAUGAAGCCCUCGCCCGGGCGGAAAGCGCCUGGCUGGAAGCAUCCCUCUCCUGCCAGGAGCAGCCGUGCAGCCCCCGCGCCACCUCUCGGUGCCCGCAGUUCCCCGGCCGCCACGGCCACCUUCUCUCCUCCCUCGAGCCAAGCUGUCCCCAGAGGCACAUUCCUGGCGACUCCCGCUCCGUUACCCAGCCGACCCGGCGUGCGGCCGCCCGGGGGAGCAAGGGAGGGAAGGGAGCGGCCGAGGGAGGCGCGGCCGCCGGCUCCUUCUUCGCGCCCGGAACACAAAGCGCCCGGCCCGCGCCACCUGUUCCCAUCCGGCCCGCGGGGCUGGGGGAACCUCCUGGUGGCGAUCCUACUUCUCCCCUCAGUCAAGUUUACCCUGCCUUGGCCUUCCCUGUUGUCUUGGGCGCUGCCCGGGCAAACCUCGUCGUGCCUCGGCCGCGAAAGCCAAAGCAGGCGGCGGGGCUCGGAAGGAUCAGAGUCGCGCGCGGCCACUCACCCGGGCGCCCGGGAGCUGCCCGGGUCCUUCCGGGCGCUGUCGGAGGCCGACGGUAGGCGCCAGCGCCCGAGACGAGCUGGGCGGCGGCGGGAGUGCAAGGAGGCUGAGAGUGGGGGCGCGGAUCCCGCGCGUCCGCCCGGCGUCGGCUCGGCCUGCCUCUCCCGCUCCGGCUCCGGAGCAGCCCCGCGGCUCCUAGCCGCCUUCCGGGCUGAGGGCGGCCGACAGGCGGCCAAUAGGGACCCCGCGGGCGGGCUGGCGACACGGCCCACCCACCUCCGAGCUGCCCGGCCGGGCCGGCGCUGCAGCUGCUGCGCUGCGCUGGCUGCUCCUCCCCGUUCGGCUCUUGGGGCUCGCUGGCGCGCUCUACCGCGCACACCCCCACACCAACCCACUCACUCUACACUCGCGCAGAGAGCGGUCGCGCGCAACGUGGGUGCCCCACCUGUGACACGCGGCUACGCUGCCCUCUUCCGCUAG